UGGAAGAAUCAGGUGUGAUGGCUAAUGUCACUGGGACAUGUUUGACCAAAGGGAAGAUUUUGUGAAGAUCUACCUGCUCUAAUGUGAGGAAUCUUACAUACUGCUUCUGGACAGUUUCUCAGUUCAUGAGGUCCUGUUGCACUCUGAUCAAUACAAAUGGACUCUUCUUUGACUGUAUCGCCUCUGUCUCCAUCACUGGGAUCCCCUCUCAGUCCAGAUGAGAUGCAGUUACUUGCUAAACUAGAGGAACAGAACAGGUCACUUCACCCCCACCCACUGCCACUAUUUCUAAGAAGCAACAACUGAACGUAAAGUAAAGGGUUACAAGGCUGCUAGAGACCGACAGUAAAUCUCUCUAGUCUGUAAAUGGUGUUCUGAGAAGUCCCUCCUCACCCAAGAUCUUUUCUUUUGAGGAGGACACAUGGGGUAACGUUGUUAAAGAAUGGGACGACUGGAGCAAGAGAAAAGUUGGACAGCUCAAGGGGUCGCUGGCAUGCUGAAUCAGAUUAUUACAACCUUCAGUUGCGAGCGACACCUGCCCCGUGUUUGCCAGCUUGCGAAGUUUGUUCUCUUGUCUUUUCUCCAGGGACUAUGCAUAGAAAACAAACAUUUAAAGCAGAGACUUGACAUACUGGAGAAGAGAUGUUCUGAGAAACUGGAGCUGGAGAAGACCCGGCUAUAGGUGGCCAAGUCACAUAGCACUUUAAAAGAAAUGCAGGCCAAGAUCUUGCUGGUGGAAGAGCAGCACUGUGUCUGAUGAAGACAGUGUGAUGGAUCAGCAGAAGGAGCUGAUAAGCGGAAGACUACGGGAAGCAGAUGCUCUUACUGGACUCAAAGAGCUGAAACAGCACAUUAAAGACUUGGAAGUGAAAUGGCAGAGGCAGCAGGUGCAUUGUUGUCAGCAGAAGUUUGGCAGUGCACAAAAUGAACUGCAGGUGAAGCUGUUGAUCGCAAAACUGAAGGAAACUCUCACUCAGGCCACGCUUAAAGAGACCCGUCACAGACUGCUGCAGCUGCAGACAGAGGUUAAAGAAUUCACCUCAUCAUAUCUGAGAGUUUAGAAGUUAGCUGAGAGACUAUAAUAUAAGGAUUAGAAUAUUUAUCUCAGCUUUUGCAUGCUUACACCUUGAAAUGGUUUUCAGUUAAAUAAUGCACUUAGCCAGAGCUUCUUUUUAAUGUGUUUGAUUUUAUUUAAUAAUAUACUGUAUGAACAAUAAUCAUAAUAGUCUGAUGCAUUUGAGAACAUGAACUGAAUAUGUUUUAUUCUGCAUUUAUACAUUUCUAUGUUCAUCCCUCUCCCACUUUUCAGUAUAUUCCUGUGGUACUUAUUUAGCUAUAAUGAAAAAUAUUUGGUUUAUUUUAUUUAUAUGAAUUUAUAUUUUACAGCUACACAUUUGAAGCACUUUGACUUGUCAUUGCAAGUAUCAUGUUGAAACAUCCUGAGAUUUUGAAAUGAUUCUUAUCUUUGAUUUGGAAACAUUUAAAUUAUGUCAUUAUGUCUGGAAAUAUCUAAGGGGUUUAUAUGAAUAUGUUACACUUCACAAAAAAAAAAAAAAAAAAUCUGAAAUAACUUUCAUUUUGUUCAGUGAUUUGUACAUUCCACUUUGUUAUUAUUUCAAAUCAAUGUUAAACUGCAAUGCUGAGGGCAACUGAAAGUCAGUAUAUUGAAUGUGACUGAAUCCAAACCAUAAAUCAUAAUUAUCAUUUGCACUUGAUAACAUUUUCAGUUUUGUACACCUUAGAAUGCAAUUCUCUGUAACCAGUUAAAGCGAAUUAAUGCGCAAGUAAGCAGCCAACGAGAGCAUCUAGAGCAGCUGACUUCAGAGAAUAAAGAUCUGCACAACCAAUUACAGCAGAGCAGAGUGCAAUUUUCAGCUGUUCAAUACCAAGUAAGAGCAAACCUAACAUCAUCCACUGUUUGACCAACUGGAGGUGGAUAAUUACUGUGUCAGACUUCCUUAAGUCUAAUCUUGAACCACAACCAUCAUUAAACGCCACUUGUCACGCUCAA